AACGCACCUUGCGCUCCCUGGUAUUCCGAGGGGCAUGCCUGUUUGAGUGUCAUUAAAUUCUCAACCUCAUAAGCUUUUGUUUAUUGAGGAUUGGAUGUGAGGGUUGCUGGCUUGUAACAGAGUUCAGCUCCCUUGAAAUGUAUUAGUGGACUUAGCCGUUUGUGGGCCACAUUGAUGUGAUAAUUAUCUACGCCUUUAUGGUUCGCAGCUUGGGAGGUUGCAAUGUAACAGUUGCUCUUCCUGUUGUCAAGUGCUGUCCGCUUCGAACCGUCCUAAGUUAUUGGACAAUCCAUUGACUUGUUUGACCUCAAAUCAGGUAGGACUACCCGCUGAACUUAA
rnacentral:misc_RNA from 1 species